UACGGAGGGUGCAAGCGUUAUCCGGAUUCACUGGGUUUAAAGGGUGCGUAGGCGGGCAGUUAAGUCAGUGGUGAAAUCCUGGAGCUCAACUCCAGAACUGCCAUUGAUACUAUCUGUCUUGAAUAUUGUGGAGGUAAGCGGAAUAUGUCAUGUAGCGGUGAAAUGCUUAGAUAUGACAUAGAACACCUAUUGCGAAGGCAGCUUACUACGCAUAUAUCGACGCUGAGGCACGAAAGCGUGGGGAUCAAACAGG
rnacentral:rRNA from 1 species